CAAUAGCGUAUAUUUAAGUUGUUGCAGUUAAAAAGCUCGUAGUUGGAUUUCGGAUGGGAUUUACCGGUCCGUCGUUACGAUGUGCACUGGCCAGUCCUAUCUUGUUGUCGGGGACUAGCUCCUUGGAUUCACUUCCUGGGACUAGGAGCUGACGAGGUUACUUUGAGUAAAUUAGAGUGUUCAAAGCAAGCCUACGCUCUGAAUACAUUAGCAUGGAAUAACACGAUAGGACUCUGGCUUAUCUUGUUGGUCUGUGAGACCAGAGUAAUGAUUAAGAGGGACAGUCGGGGACAUUCGUAUUUCAUUGUCAGAGGUGAAAUUCUUGGAUUUAUGAAAGACGAACUUCUGCGAAAGCAUUUGUCAAGGAUGUUUUCAUUAA
rnacentral:rRNA from 1 species